rnacentral:tRNA from 1 species
GCCAGUGUGGCGGAGAGGCUACACGGUUGACUGCAGAUCAACUACACCCCGGUUCAAUUCCGGGCGCUGGCU